rnacentral:rRNA from 1 species
AAACUCAGAAUUCGUGGAAGUUCGAUCACGUGUGACACACUUCGGGUGCUAAGGUCCGCUGUGGAAAGGGAAACAGCCCAGACCGCAUACUAAGGUCCCAAAGUCAUAGCUAAGUGGGAAAAGAAGUGGGAAGGCCCAGACAGCCAGUAGGUUGGCUUAGAAGAAGCCACCCUUUAAUGAAAGCUUAAUAGCUCACUGGUCGAGUCGGCCUGCACGUAAGAUUUAACGGGGC